AUUCGAUUAGAGUUUGAUCAUGGCUCAGGAUGAACGCUGGCGGCGUGCUUAACACAUGCAAGUCGAACGAACCUUCGGGUUAGUUGCGGACGGGUGAGUAACGCGUGAGAAUCUGCCCUCAGGAGGGGGAUAACGGUUGGAAACGACCGCUAAUACCCCAUAUGCCGCGAGGUGAAAUGAAUUUCGCCUGAGGAUGAGCUCGCGUCUGAUUAGCUAGUUGGUGGGGUAAAGGCCUACCAAGGCAUCGAUCAGUAGCUGGUCUGAGAGGAUGAUCAGCCACACUGGGACUGAGACACGGCCCAGACUCCUACGGGAGGCAGCAGUGGGGAAUUUUCCGCAAUGGGCGAAAGCCUGACGGAGCAACGCCGCGUGAGGGAUGAAGGCCUCUGGGCUGUAAACCUCUUUUAUCAAGGAAGAAGAUCUGACGGUACUUGAUGAAUAAGCCACGGCUAAUUCCGUGCCAGCAGCCGCGGUAAUACGGGAGUGGCAAGCGUUAUCCGGAAUUAUUGGGCGUAAAGCGUCCGCAGGCGGCCCUUCAAGUCUGCUGUUAAAAAGUGGAGCUUAACUCCAUCAUGGCAGUGGAAACUGUUGGGCUUGAGUGUGGUAGGGGCAGAGGGAAUUCCCGGUGUAGCGGUGAAAUGCGUAGAUAUCGGGAAGAACACCAGUGGCGAAGGCGCUCUGCUGGGCCAUCACUGACGCUCAUGGACGAAAGCCAGGGGAGCGAAAGGGAUUAGAUACCCCUGUAGUCCUGGCCGUAAACGAUGAACACUAGGUGUCGGGGGAAUCGACCCCCUCGGUGUCGUAGCCAACGCGUUAAGUGUUCCGCCUGGGGAGUACGCACGCAAGUGUGAAACUCAAAGGAAUUGACGGGGGCCCGCACAAGCGGUGGAGUAUGUGGUUUAAUUCGAUGCAACGCGAAGAACCUUACCAGGGUUUGACAUCCUGUGAAUCUCUUGGAAACGAGAGAGUGCCUUUGGGAACGCAGUGACAGGUGGUGCAUGGCUGUCGUCAGCUCGUGUCGUGAGAUGUUGGGUUAAGUCCCGCAACGAGCGCAACCCACGUCUUUAGUUGCCAGCAUUUAGUUGGGCACUCUAGAGAGACCGCCGGUGAUAAACCGGAGGAAGGUGUGGAUGACGUCAAGUCAUCAUGCCCCUUACAUCCUGGGCUACACACGUACUACAAUGCUACGGACAAAGGGCAGCAAGUUCGCGAGGACAAGCAAAUCCCAUAAACCGUGGCUCAGUUCAGAUCGUAGGCUGCAACUCGCCUACGUGAAGGAGGAAUCGCUAGUAAUCGCAGGUCAGCAUACUGCGGUGAAUACGUUCCCGG
rnacentral:rRNA from 1 species